UAACGUUCAUCCAAGUUUAUAUCUUUGGACGCAUGAAAUGGGAUUAGGGAACGGGAUUCUCAU
ncrna:unclassified sequences Glutamine-II riboswitch (downstream peptide RNA)